rnacentral:rRNA from 1 species
AGUGAACGCUGGCGGUAGGCCUAACACAUGCAAGUCGAACGGCAGCACAGUAAGAGCUUGCUCUUACGGGUGGCGAGUGGCGGACGGGUGAGGAAUACAUCGGAAUCUACUUUUUCGUGGGGGAUAACGUAGGGAAACUUACGCUAAUACCGCAUACGACCUACGGGUGAAAGCAGGGGAUCUUCGGACCUUGCGCGAUUCAAUGAGCCGAUGUCGGAUUAGGUAGGUGGCGGGGUAAAGGCCCACCAAGGCGACGAUCCGUAGCUGGUCUGAGAGGAUGAUCAGCCAAACUGGAACGGAGACACGGUCACGACUCCUACGGGAGGCAGCAGUGGGGAAUAUUGGACAAUGGGCGCAAGCCUGAUCCAGCCAUACCGCGUGGGUGAAGAAGGCCUUCGGGUUGUAAAGCCCUUUUGUUGGGAAAGAAAAGCAGCAGGUUAAUACCCCGCUGUUCUGACGGUACCCAAAGAAUAGGCACCGGCUAACUUCGUG